rnacentral:rRNA from 1 species
UGCCAAAUUCUAGCCCAACCACAUUGACCUGGAAUAACAAAGCUACUGCAUACACCAAACUAAAGCAUUCACUAGUCUUAGUAUAGGCGAUAGAAAAGAYACCAAUUGGCGCGAUAGAGAUCACGUACCGUAAGGGAAAGAUGAAAUAAUAAUGAAAAAACUAAVCUAUAAACAGCAAAGAUCAACCCUUGUACCUUUUGCAUCAUGGUCUAGCAAGAAAAACCAAGCAAAAUGAGUUUAAGUUUGCCACCCCGAAACCCAAGCGAGCUACUUGUGAGCAGCUAUUAUUGAGCGAACCCGUCUCUGUUGCAAAAGAGUGGGAUGACUUACUAGUAGGGGUGAAAAGCCAAUCGAGCUGGGUGAUAGCUGGUUGCCUGUGAAACGAAUCUUAGUUCACUCUUAAUUCUUCUCCAAGGAAACUAACAGAACCCUAAUGAAGCGAAUUAAGGGCAAUUUAAAGGGGGUACAGCUCCUUUAANNNNNNNNNNNNNNNNACGAGCGGAUAAAUAAUYUAUAGAAAGAUCUCCUGUGGGCCCUCAAGCAGCCAUCAACAAAGAGUGCGUUAAAGCUCUUCGACUAAAAAANNNNNNNNNNNNNNNNNNNNNNNNNCAUUAACAGGCUAACCUAUAUGUAAAUAGGAGAAUUAAUGYUAGAAUGAGUAACCAGGGUCCUCCCUCUACGACGCAAGCUUACAUCUUUACAUUAUUAACAAAUCACCAAGAUACGACAAAUCAAACAAGCAGAGUAUCAAGUAAAUUGUUAACCCGACAGAGGAGCGUCCAUUAAGAAAGAUUAAAACCUGUAAAAGGAACUAGGCAAACACAUCAAGGCCCGACUGUUUACCAAAAACAUAGCCUUCAGCAAACAGCAAACAAGUAUUGAAGGUGAUGCCUGCCCUGUGACUUAGUGUUUAACGGCCGCGGUAUCCUAACCGUGCAAAGGUAGCGCAAUCAAUUGUCUCAUAAAUCGGGACCCGUAUGAAUGGCUAAACGAGGUCUUAACUGUCUCUUACAGGCGAUCGGUGAAAUUGAUCUCCCUGUGCAAAAGCAGGGAUAACUACAUAAGACGAGAAGACCCUGUGRARCUUAAAAAUCAGCARNNNNNNNNNNNNNNNNNNNNNNNNNNNNNGUACACGCUUUACAGGGAACUGGCCUGCAUUUUUCGGUUGGGGCGACCUUGGAGAAAAACAAAUCCUCCAAAAAUUAGACCACAACUCUAGACUGAGAGCGACCCCUCAACGUGCGAAUAGCACCCAGACCCAAUAUAAUUGAUCAAUGGACCAAGUUACCCCAGGGAUAACAGCGCAAUCUCCUCCGAGAGUCCGUAUCGACGGGGAGGUUUACGACCUCGAUGUUGGAUCAGGACAUCCUAGUGGUGCAGCCGCUACUAAGGGUUCGUUUGUUCAACGAUUAACAGUCCUACGUGAUCUGAGUUCAGACCGGAGCAAUCCAGGUCGGUUUCCAUCUAUGAUGAACUCUUCCCAGUACGAAAGGAUAGGAAAAGUGAGGCCAAUACUACAAGCAAGCCUUCGCCUUAAGUUAUGAAUCCAACUAAAUAACGAAAGGCUAUCACACUACAACCACGUCCUAGAAAAGGACCA